CAAAACCCCCCUUCUCCGGCGAUUUUCUGCCUCUCCGACGCUGAGCUCGCGAUCGCCGGCUACUGGUCGACGCUGCCAGCUGAGCCUCUCUUCUCCUUGUCUGCUCGUGCGUCUCUCCUUCCUUCCCUCACGUCUCUGCUCAAUGUCGCCGACGUCGAUCUCUCCCGACCAUGCCACGCUGCCCGACGCCACUGAGCGCCGCCCAUCGCCGAUGUAGCCCUAGCCUCAUUCUUCUCCCCAGAUCGUUGCCCUGGUGUGAGCAUAUCUUGGACCAGAAGCGAGAGAAUCUGAGCCCUAGCUCUGAUUUUUCGCUGGCGACCACCGAGCUCGAUGCCGAUAGCGGUGAGGUCGAUCUCUCUGUCUCACAUUUAAUUCGUGCCCUAAUAUUGCUCACCUGCCAUACCUCACGAUCUUGAUCUUGUCCUGUGUGAUGCUCGGCUCAACGACAUCAUUAUCGAUCGGUGAUCUAGGGCACUCGAUCGGACAAGGGUCUUGGAGAGAAGGAUGAUCACCAGAACAUUGUUCUUUGCGGAUUUGAAGAGGAGGAGCGCCUACAUUUUUCCAUUCCACCUGUGACACCAGUUGCUACCUAGUUUCCAGAGGUGGGUUCUCCACAUGAAUCGAAUCUAUUGGCACUAAAUCGGGGUAAGCUUCGGUCAGUACUGUUCACCGGUGAACCAUAAUUCUGGCGAUCUUGUUUUGACAGUGAAUCCAUCUUGUCAUGUUUCACUAGUUGCCACCUUGGAUUUGGGUAUCUUGUAGAUGGUUGGUGUCGCUCGGAGUAUCCUAUCUGCCGGGUCCUACGUCACAUCCGAAG